CCUACGGGGGGCUGCAGUGGGGAAUAUUGGACAAUGGGGGCAACCCUGAUCCAGCCAUGCCGCGUGUGUGAAGAAGGCCCUCGGGUUGUAAAGCACUUUCAGUGAGGAAGAACGCCUGGUGGUUAAUACCCAUCAGGAAAGACAUCACUCACAGAAGAAGCACCGGCUAACUCCGUGCCAGCAGCCGCGGUAAUACGGAGGGUGCGAGCGUUAAUCGGAAUUACUGGGCGUAAAGCGCGCGUAGGUGGCUUGAUAAGCCGGUUGUGAAAGCCCCGGGCUCAACCUGGGAACGGCAUCCGGAACUGUCAAGCUAGAGUGCAGGAGAGGAAGGUAGAAUUCCCGGUGUAGCGGUGAAAUGCGUAGAGAUCGGGAGGAAUACCAGUGGCGAAGGCGGCCUUCUGGACUGACACUGACACUGAGAUGCGAAAGCGUGGGUAGCAAACAGGAUUAGAUACCCUGGUAGUC
rnacentral:rRNA from 1 species